CAAGACCAGUGAUGGAGCCACGAAACCAACAAGAAGGCUGAAAACAAACAAUUUAUUCCAGUCGCUUUAUUUUCAAUAUUAUUGUAUUUAAUUCCAAAUAAUAACGUUGUUUCAAUAAAUAUUCCUGAACGAAUACGUGUUUGGAUGAUCGCCAUCAUGGAAUUGUAUUUCUUCAGAAUGCGAUCAAACAGGCGACCGACAGAAAGAUGCCCAUCUCCCAAAUAAUAAAAUUUGAAAUGACCAAAAUUAAAUAAUAUUAGGGGAAAUGUUUAUAUUUCUGUAGAUAAAGUGUUCUGUGGUUAAUUAAAUUGAUGGGGUAUAGUUUACAAUGUUAGGAAAGUACGAACAAUUAAAUGCACGGAAAAUUUGAGUUUUCUUUCGCGUGGUAAAUCUGGCUGGUAAUAAUAUACCGACAAUGAAAGCAGUGCUAUUCGAUACUGAAUUAUAAUAAAGUAGUAAAUUAAUUAUGAGACGAGUAACACACGUUGAAAAUCUUGCGCAAUUUAUACGUCUAACUUGUUAGGUAACUCCAAAUAUAACAGGCAGAAAGAAAAUCUGACGAUUGCAACUUAACACCGAAUCAUUCCAUACGAGGAACUGAAUUUCUAAUUUUCAUAUUACAGUCAAUUUAGUGACUGAAAAUGUUCAGUCCUCUACAUAUUGGAAAGUUUGUACAUGUGACAAGAUGGACAGUCAGAUUUACUUCAUUAAUAUGGUAUGUUUCCUUUCAUGCAUGGUAAAUAGGUGUGUUAUGUAUCCUAGCUAAUUAAAUUAAAAUUCACUCUCCACCCUUGAAGAGGGAUGAUUAAAUUAAGUUUAGUUCAUUACGUAGACUAGUAUUGUCAUUAUUAGCAGUUUCUUUCUGGGUGUUUUCAGCACUGGAAUUGUUAAUAUGCUUAGUCAGACACGCCCUUGACUGAUUUGUAAUUAUUCCCUUUGUGUUUCGUCGACACAUUACAAAAUUAAAGACAAGCAAAAGGCGUACAAGACUUCAAGAAUAAUUACGGAAUAUAGAUUGCUAUAAUCCUUUAAAACACAGCAGGCCUACCUACCACAUACUUUAACAUUUAAUAAUUGCGUUUAUGGAUUCCGUAUAAUUUUCAGAAUAAAGAGCGAUGAUUUUUCCAAACACCA